AUAAGUGAAAUAAACGUUAUUUUUUUCCAUGUUUUAUUCUGCUAUAGACCUUUUCGAAGUAGUGUGGCGUGUGGUUCCGCCCUAGAAUAGGACCACUCCAUAUUCUUCCGCGGAUGUCGUAUACGAGGCGACUGAGGGACACAGCCUAGGCAGCUGAUAGGAAACAAUAGCAUUUCCAAGGAGGGUAGACCAAAGCCAAAUUUUCAAAUAUUUAAGGAUUUUUUUACUCUGGGCUUUGCUGCUUCAUAACCCCAAACGCAACCGGUAUUCUUUAUCAUACUGGUUUAUUUCGCAAGCCAUAUAUUAUUUAUCACCAUACAAUUCAACAGAUCAUGGAAUGAUAUCAAAGCUUGUCAAUUCAACUAUUGGUCUAUAGCAUAAGCAAAUGGAUUUCAUCAUCCUCAUCAUCUCAGCCACAAGAAGUCCACAGCUGGACACAGGCCUCUCCCAAAUACUUCCAGGUAUCGGCAAGCGCAGCGCUAGUCAUCCACCAACCAAGUGGACUGACAAUAUCAUAAAAAGUCGCAGGAAGACGCCGGAUGCAAGAUGCUAUUAAUCGGUCAUUGCAGAAGUCUUUGGGAGAGGCAUUCUAACUGUGUUUGAUGCUUAGAAAUGAAACUGCAACUGGACACGUCUGGGACCAUCAAUUCAGCUAGCAUUUACGAUGCGAGCUCAAUUUAUAGUUGUACUGUCUCUGAUACUCUGUAGGGGACACUAGUCGAUUCAAUUUCUGAAUUUCGAUUCGAUUGACAUUUAUCGUCUUAUUAUAUAGAUACAAGAGCUAACAUGAAUAUGUAUCUUUCUAACAGUUCCAAUAUUUAACCUUCAAUUGAUUAAUACGCCUUGUUUUCGUUUGUCUUUAACGUCCUUUAAUAAAAUAAAGGAAAACCGACAUUGUCGUCUGCGACAUUAUACUCAUUAAAGCGUCAUAAACACAACCACAAGUAUAAACAGUAAACUGCGUAACUUGAAAUUACCUUGUCGUUGACUUUACCACAAAUGAAACAGAGUAACAGAAGGCACAUCCUAUUUCCUACAAUGUUUUCUGCAUCUCUCUCUCUCUCUCUCUCUCAUCCUCGCGUGUUCCCGAUUACAUUCGGAGCUGUGACGCCCCGAAGCCAACGGUUCAAAAAUCAACCAUAAAAGUUUUGAAGAUUUAGCUGGCUGGCUGACAUAAACCUUCUUUGGAGAUGCUCUUGUUGCCCAUCAGCUGUUAAGGCUUGUCCCUUACUCGCCUCGUACGUUCAACAUCCGUGGGAGGAUUUGGAGUGGUGCUAUCCUAGGGCGGGAACACACACCACAUCGUUUUCUGUGUAUGGUCAUUAUUUACUAAAAUAUUUAGCAUCACUGAAAUGAAAAAUGGAAUAAUUUUCGCUGAGCAAGUCCGUUAAAUCCAAUUACAAAUGACAAAACAAAGGGAACUCCAAUUUAUUUAUCAUUCGAAUAGCUCGGGAAAUUGAAUGAAAAGGACAUCCAUUAGAAAAUCAUUAACGAAGAGAACUUUGUGGAAGUGAACGUAAUAAAAGUUUGUACGAGUUUUUUUUGUGUCGUCUAAAAGUGACAUAAACAAAUUUGCCCGAGAUUAUUACAAAUGUUUUUUAUAGUUUCCGAGAAUGUCACUUACAUUUGAAUGUUAAAACUUGGAUUAUGAACUACCUGAACGGCAUUUAACUUUUUAAUUUAUGUUCGCUACUGCCUUACAAUGUUGAAUUUUUAUUUAACAGAAGAAAAUACAAGAAAUUGUAGCUGAAUCGUAAUUUAAGUUUUACAAGCAUUUAGGUAGUUCGUUCGUAGUAUGGAAUUACAUUACUUACCAUAAUAUAAAGAAGUAUAUGGAUUGAAAUAAAGAGAUCUCUUCCAGUCAACCGGUAAACGAAAAAAGAAAUACAUAAAUGAGAGUUUGGGAGGUUGGGCACACAGUAAGAGGAACAGUAAAGAAAUGUAAUGGAGCAUGAGGGAAACUAAUAGUCUCUUUCGCGAAUGUAUGUAGGUAUUUCUUUAUUACAUACUAAUCUCCCUGCAUUAUUGAAAUAUUACUUUUUUCCAUCCUCUCGUAAGUAGCACAGUCAACUUGUCAAGUUCGCUGCAAGUUGCGAAUUAUCCUCUAUUACUACCGCGUACCGACUCAUGCACAAGAUAACAUGUUUUUAGACUGUAAUUACAAGUGGAAUACAUUUGAUAUCAUCAUGGUCUACACAUUUUCCAUUUACUAGCUAGGAUCUGUCUUAUUAUAUUUGCUAUACGAUCCUGAUGGGUAUAUCUUGACCUUAGUCCUAAUGUGACGGAUCUCGACUUUACGGCGAGAGACAUAAACCUGGCUUCAUUCGAGGGUCUGCAACGGUCUGAUAAGUUCAGAUUAUUAUUAUUAUGGGUCUCCGCAUAAUACACAAGAUUGUAUAUCUAAAUAUAAAGUAAAACUUUGUAUUUUACAAAUAAAAUUCUAGUAUCGGAAUGCCAAGAUUCUCUUUGGGUCGCUGAGCCAACGAAGUAUUUACAAUUUCGCUCAAGUUGCGCUUUAUGUUUCGAUUUGUAGUUAUUAGUGUUAGAUUCAAACAGCAAUUUCAAUUUCAACAAACAAAUUCAACAGCCAAAUAUUACAAUAAUUCCUUAAUAACUAAUUUACUAAUUUUAAA